AAUCUUUGACUCGAAUCUUCAAGUUCGACCGGGAGUCUCUGCUCCUUCCGCCGGCCAUUGCCCUCAAAUUUGGAGUCCGGUGGUUCAUCGGAGCACGUGCUUGACGAUUCAACUCUGUGAACAAGUUCAGAGAGCUCGUUCAAGAAUGGCCGUUGAGGCUUGGUACAUGAACGAUAGCAAUGAAGACCAGAGGCUUCCUCUUCAUCGCAACCUUAAAGAGUUCGUCUCCAUGGACCAAUUAGCAGUUAAUGAGGCUGUUCCAGGGAGAGCCAAUUUGGACCCCGUUUAACCGACCACAAGGGCAGCAUCCAGCAAGGAAAGAGUACCUCAAUACCUUCACUGAGAAAGCUGGAGCGCCACUCCAACUUCUGUACUAUGGCAAUUAAUACAAAACUGUGAGGUUUAGCUCAGGCUGUGCAUUGUUGGGUAUGGCUUAGAUUAAAUACUAUAUAAAUUUGCCAACUGCUGUUGAAACAUGGCUUCAUAAAUGUCUGAGCCUCAUAUUAUUUAUGAAUUGAGCUUCUCAAAAGAAUUGUAAUUUGAACCACUUUGGAAAGAUAUGAUUAAACGAUAGAGAUUUCUCUCUUGCAGGAAAGAUAUGGAAUCUCGAAUAUAAAAUUCUUAUAAACUACAUUUAUUUUUAUUGUUCUACAGGACCCUGUAUUUGUGUCGAUUAAUACUGAAGCGCGUAGUACCUUAUCACGAAAGCCUGUUUGAUAAUGUUUUACAGACUAUUGAGUUUGUGUGUCAGAUAAAUAGUUCAAUCAUUUCCUUCAGAAUACUGUUCUUGUUAUACAUGUCAAUUAUAUUCUUCCCUACAGUAUUGAGGGGUAGCUAUGGUGUUUUUGCUUUAGAGAUUAUUAACUUUUUUAGUUCUCUUGUUGACCAGAAAGUUGCAGGGCUCUUGGAGAUCAGAGACUCGUUUAUCACUGGAAAAUGUAGGAAAGUUUGUUGCCACAAAGCAAAUCUCUGAAUUUUGUCAGUCAGCAACUGCUGGAGUUGGAUUCUAUUACUGCGAGGACCUAUUUGCUUGGUUUGGUCUAAAAGACUUUGCUUGCCAGUUGCUCUUUUCUGCUGCUCAACUGCUCCUAAAAAGUUCAAUUAUUUCAUAUUCAGCAGAAGGAUCAAGCAGAAGAUCAUGAAAACACACCUGGGAUGGGAACAAUAUCAUUGCCCUGAAGGAGCAGCCAAGCUAAAGCCAGCUGAACUGGGGUAUAACCAUGCUUCACAGCUACAUCAGCAAGCCUUUGUAGAUAAGUUCAUUCUGUUCCAAAUUCUUCUUGCUGAACCUUGAAUGAGAAGUCUGUCAAACACAUCACAAACAAGUAUAUGGAUCAGUUUGUUAUGUAAUACAAUAGAGCGACCAUGGCAGAACUUGCACAGUAGUCUCCUUUUACGGACCUACCAACGAACGUGCGGCUCAGAGGACUGUAAGUCGCUGUCCCAACUCCCAGAUCCCUGCAAAACACCGUGGCUUCAUCCACCAAGUCUUUCGACAUAUAACUUUGGGCCUACUAAACAUGAAACUUGAAUGUGCUCGAGACUUGCUUCAAAGCACUUCCUUACAUAUUCAGGGAGCUGCUUCAAGGCCUGCAAAAUAAAACAUCUUCAGUCAAUUGGUAAGGUCUCAAACACCACCUUUUCAAUCGUGAUUUCAUUGUCAUGAUCAGGUCCAUAAAGAUCAGAAGAAUAAAAAAAAAGUUAUGCCUUUGAUGCAAGCUUGUUUGAUAAUUUGGUAUCCAUGUUCAUGAGAAAGGGGAACACUGGGACACCCUGAAAAGCCCUGCACACCCAAAACCCAACCUUGGAACUUGCAAAGUCUCAAGGAUUUUCACUGUCAAACCAAAAGUUUCGUGUUCUUUUUCAAGUUCCCAUUUCUUAAAAGUGAUCAAUCUUUAUCUCUACUCCUUGGCUACCCAGUUUCACUCUGGGGAUUUGGAUCAGAUUUUGGGGCUUUCCCUCCAUUUUGAAGAUAUCAGAGGAGCUUAUACUCUGCAGAUAUUGCAAUUUCCUGUGGAAUUCUCUUGAUGAUUCUUCCCCCGAAUGGAACUUUUUUGUACCCUUUGAUUAUUGAUAGCGUGUUGAGUUUCUUGUUUCAUGACAAAGGAAUAUGCCAUGAAAGUAGCUAAAACUGAACCUCCUACAUUGUCUUUGAGGGUGUAAGGUCAAUUCUUCCACCUUA